GCCUCUUUAGCUCAGUGGUAGAGUACUGGUCUCGUAAACCAGGGGUCGUGAGUUCAAACCUCACAGGAAGCA
rnacentral:tRNA from 1 species